rnacentral:rRNA from 1 species
AUUGAACGCUGGCGGCAUGCUUUACACAUGCAAGUCGAACGGCAGCGCGGGCUUCGGCCUGGCGGCGAGUGGCGAACGGGUGAGUAAUACAUCGGAACGUGCCCAGUAGUGGGGGAUAGCUCGGCGAAAGCCGGAUUAAUACCGCAUACGACCUGAGGGUGAAAGCGGGGGAUCUUCGGACCUCGCGCUAUUUGAGCGGCCGAUGGCAGAUUAGCUAGUUGGUGGGGUAAAGGCCUACCAAGGCGACGAUCUGUAGCUGGUCUGAGAGGACGACCAGCCACACUGGGACUGAGACACGGCCCAGACUCCUACGGGAGGCAGCAGUGGGGAAUUUUGGACAAAGGGCGAAAGCCUGAUCCAGCAAUGCCGCGUGUGUGAUGAAGGCCUUCGGGUUGUAAAGCACUUUUGGCGGGAACGAAAAGGACUGUGCCAAUACCACGGUUCGAUGACGGUACCCGCAGAAUAAGCACCGGCUAACUACGUG